UUUUGGACAAUGGGGGCAACCCUGAUCCAGCAAUGCCGCGUGAGUGAAGAAGGCCUUCGGGUUGUAAAGCUCUUUUGUCAGGGAAGAAACGGUGGGGGCUAAUAUCCUCUGCUAAUGACGGUACCUGAAGAAUAAGCACCGGCUAACUACGUGCCAGCAGCCGCGGUAAUACGUAGGGUGCAAGCGUUAAUCGGAAUUACUGGGCGUAAAGCGUGCGCAGGCGGUUGUGCAAGACAGAUGUGAAAUCCCCGGGCUCAACCUGGGAAUUGCAUCUGUGACUGCACGGCUUGAGUGUGUCAGAGGGGGGUAGAAUUCCACGUGUAGCAGUGAAAUGCGUAGAUAUGUGGAGGAAUACCGAUGGCGAAGGCAGCCCCCUGGGAUAACACUGACGCUCAUGCACGAA
rnacentral:rRNA from 1 species